AUUGAACGCUGGCGGCAUGCCUAACACAUGCAAGUCGAACGGCAGCGCGGGGGCAACCCUGGCGGCGAGUGGCGGACGGGUGAGGAAUGCAUAGGAAUCUGCCCGGUUGUGGGGGAUAACGUAGGGAAACUUACGCUAAUACCGCAUACGACCUUCGGGUGAAAGUGGGGGACCUUCGGGCCUCACGCGAUCGGAUGAGCCUAUGCCCGAUUAGCUAGUUGGCGGGGUAAGAGCCCACCAAGGCGACGAUCGGUAGCUGGUCUGAGAGGAUGAUCAGCCACACUGGGACUGAGACACGGCCCAGACUCCUACGGGAGGCAGCAGUGGGGAAUAUUGGACAAUGGGCGCAAGCCUGAUCCAGCAAUGCCGCGUGUGUGAAGAAGGCCUUCGGGUUGUAAAGCACUUUUGUUCGGGAAGAAAUCCGUGUGGUUAAUACCCGUACGGGAUGACGGUACCGAAAGAAUAAGCACCGGCUAACUUCGU
rnacentral:rRNA from 1 species